rnacentral:lncRNA from 10 species
AUGGCCCAAACCCCUACAAAAAUCGGUUGAAAUAAAAAUCAAUGUCACCCUCAGACCACGGUCACUUUCUGCCAAGUAGUUAGCGAGAAUUACAGGCAUAUGAUUUCAAGAAAAAUAUUUUAUCUUGGUGAGUUUUAGAAAGGAAAAAAGGAAAGUCUUUGCCCUGUUAUGCAGUAGCACUAUUCAUUUGUGGUCUGUAUCUGAUUUCCUUGAGUAAGAUGUGAAGACUUCAGAAUGGAUGUCAGAAUAAAUGAUAGCUCCUGCAAAUGGCAAUCCUCGGGGUUUUGCUCAUAUGAUCCCAGCAUUUCACUGGCCUUCAUCUUGGAGAAGCCUAAAGGGGUAGUCCUACCUCAAAAGAGGACAAAACUCUGUCCUCAGCAGAGAACAGCAGGCUUUCUGAGGUUUCCUCCUGCGUUACAGCGUUGGUUGUGAGGUUUAAACCAGUAUCGUGUUUAAGAGAGAAACCUGUAGACUAGCUGCAUUAGACUGAAUCUUGAGCAAGUCAUUUUACUUCCUGAGCCUCAGUUUCCUAACCCGUAAGCUGAGCUUUAAUACUAACAGAACAAUUAGCAGUGUUUUAUUUGCUAUGUGCCAAGCAUGGUCUGGGUGGCUUGCAUAUGUCAUCUAACUUAAAUCUCCCUAGAGCCCUAUGAGUACAAAUGAGGAAACUGAGUCACAGACUGGUUAUAUAACUGCCCGGGGUCACACAGACGGAGGAAGCUAAGGUUUCAGCACAGGCUGCCUGUUUCUCCACCAUGAUGCUCCCCUCUUCACUGUGCCUCCUGGCUGGAGUAAAUGAGCGAUGCUCACAUUGUCCUCUGGAGUAGUCAUUAAGACAAUGAGCCACCUUGGCUGCUUCUAGUCUUCG